rnacentral:tRNA from 1 species
UGUUUGGUGGCUGAGAGAUAAGCGAUAGACUGUAGAUCUAUUUACGGAAUUAAAUUUCCCCAACGA